CCCGCUGAACUUAAGCAUAUCAAUAAGCGGAGGAAAAGAAACUAACAAGGAUUCCCCUAGUAACGGCGAGUGAAGAGGGAAGAGCUCAAAUUUUGAAUCCGGCACCUUUGGUGUCUGAGUUGUAAUCUAGAGAAGUGCUUUCUGUGGCGGACCGUGCACAAGUCUCCUGGAAUGGAGCGUCAUAGAGGGUGAGAAUCCCGUAUAUGGCACGGACUCCCGUUGCUCUGUGAAACACUCUCAACGAGUCGAGUUGUUUGGGAAUGCAGCUCCAAAUGGGUGGUAAAUGCCAUCUAAAGCUAAAUAUUGGCGAGAGACCGAUAGCAAACAAGUAGAGUGAUCGAAAGAUGAAAAGUACUUUGAAAAGAGAGUGAAACAGUACGUGAAAUUGUUGAAAGGGAAGCGUUUGGCAUCAGCCCAUGGUGUUCAUCGAUCAUUCAGGCUUCUGUCUGAUGCACUUGAUGGAUGCCGGGUCAGCGUCGGCUUUGCCCGCCGGAGAAAGGUCUUGGGGAUGUGGCUCCCUUAGGGGUGCGUUAUAACCCUCGAUGUCAUGCGGCGUGGCGGGGCCGAGGUCCACGGUUUAUCCUAGGACGCUGGCGUAAUGGUUCCAAGCGACCCGUCUUGAAACACGG
rnacentral:rRNA from 1 species